GAUGAACGCUGGCGGCGUGCUUAACACAUGCAAGUCGAACGGAGUUAUUUGGAAGCUUGCUUUUGAAUAACUUAGUGGCGGACGGGUGAGUAACGCGUGGGUGACCUGCCUUAUACUGGGGGAUAACACUUAGAAAUCGGGGCUAAUACCGGAUGAUGCAGCGGCACCGCAUGGUGAUGUUGUUAAAGUUCAUGCAGCGCCUGAAGAUGAACUUGCGUCUGAUUAGCUAGUUGGUGAGGUAACGGCCCACCAAGGCAAUGAUCAGUAGCUGGUCUGAGAGGAUGAUCAGCCUCACUGGAACUGAGACACGGUCCAGACUCCUACGGGAGGCAGCAGUGAGGAAUAUUGGGCAAUGCCCGCAAGGGUGACCCAGCAACGCCGCGUGGAGGAUGACGGCCGUAAGGUUGUAAACUCCUGUUAGAGGGGAAGAAUACUCCCGAUCGCCUCGGGAAUUGACUGUACCCUCAGAGGAAGCCCCGGCUAA
rnacentral:rRNA from 1 species